AUGCGGCGGUGUCGGGGCGCGGGGCUGGCGGCGCUGGCCGCGCUGCUGCUCGUGGCAGCGGUCAGAACCCAAGUGCAGCAGGAGCCAUUCCUGGAGACAACCGAGGGCACGAGUGUCAGCAUCAAGUGCUCCCAUCGCAAUAUCCGGACUGGCGAUUUCAUCCAUUUCUACCGUCAGCUCCCGGGCCAAAGACCCGAACUCGUGGCGGUCACUGCUAAAGCGUCCAAGGAAAUCCGAACCCCCGAAGGGCGUCUGUGGGUGUCGGCAGAUCGGCGAUCGAGCGCGCUGUUGCUCAGGCGGCCCCGGCGCGGGGACGCGGCCGUGUAUUACUGCGCGCUGGGGUUCCACGGGCAGAGGAGCCGGGGCUGCGGCCGGGCACGAACCGCCGCGGGCGGGGCCGGCAGGAGCCGCUCCGCUCCCCGAUAA